rnacentral:rRNA from 1 species
GAUGAACGCUGGCGGCGUGCCUAAUACAUGCAAGUCGAGCGAACAGACGAGGAGCUUGCUCCUCUGACGUUAGCGGCGGACGGGUGAGUAACACGUGGAUAACCUACCUAUAAGACUGGGAUAACUUCGGGAAACCGGCGCUAAUACCGGAUAAUAUAUUGAACCGCAUGGUUCAAUAGUGAAAGACGGUUUUGCUGUAACUUAUAGAUGGAUCCGCGCCGCAUUAGCUAGUUGGUAAGGUAACGGCUUACCAAGGCAACGAUGCGUAGCCGACGGGAGAGGGUGAUCGGCCACACUGGAGCUGAGACACGGUCCAGACUCCUACGGUAGGCAGCAGUAGGGAAUGUUCCGCAAUGGGCGAAAGCCUGACGGAGCAACGCCGCGUGAGUGAUGAAGGUCUUCGGAUCGUAAAACUCUGUUAUUAGGGAAGAACAAAUGUGUAAGUAACUAUGCACGUCUUGACGGUACCUAAUCAGAAAGCCACGGCUAACUACGUG